UACAGAGGGUGCGAGCGUUGUCCGGAAUCAUUGGGCGUAAAGAGCGUGUAGGCGGCCAAACAGGUCCACUGUGAAAACUCGAGGCUCAACCUCGAGAGGUCGGUGGAAACCGUCUGGCUAGAGUCCGGAAGAGGAGAGUGGAAUUCCCGGUGUAGCGGUGAAAUGCGCAGAUAUCGGGAAGAACACCCGUGGCGAAGGCGGCUCUCUGGGACGGUACUGACGCUGAGACGCGAAAGCGUGGGGAGCGAACAGG
rnacentral:rRNA from 1 species